ensembl:snoRNA
AUAUUUUGAUUAUAUGAAUGAAAAGUGCUUCCUGAACCACUGCAUGGCUUCUGUGGUCUUAAGUUGUUGGCACUGAAGUGGGUUAUAUACUG